rnacentral:rRNA from 1 species
AGAAAACCAUUAAGCCUGCCGCCUGGGGAAGUAAGGCCGCAAGGAUGAAACUAAAAGAAAUUGGCGGGGGAGCACCACCAGGCGUGAAGCCUGCGGUUUAAUAGGAGUCAACGCCGGAAACCUUACCGGGAGCGACAGCAGGGUGAAGGCCAGGUUGAAGGCCUUGCCGGACGAGCUGAGAGGAGGUGCAUGGCCGUCGCCAGUUCGUACCGUGAGGUGUCCUCUUAAGUGAGGUAACGAACGAGACCCGCGCCCCUUGUUGCCACCAAAUCCUAAAGGGAUGAUGAGCACUCUUGGGGGACCGCUGCCGACAAGGCAGAGGAAGGGGCGGGCAACGGCAGGUCAGUAUGCCCCGAAUCUCCCGGGCCACACGCGGGCUGCAAUGGUAGGGACAGAGGGCCGCGACCCCGAGAGGGGGAGCCAACCCCUAAAUCCUACCUCAGUUGGGAUCGAGGGCUGCAACCCGCCCUCGUGAACAUGGAAUGCCUAGUAACCGCGCGUCAUCAUCGCGCGGUGAAUACGUCCCCGCUCCUUGCACACACUGCCCGUCGAACCACCCAAAUGGGGUUUGGGUGAGGCGUGGUAGAAAGUUGGCCGCGUCGAACCUAGG